rnacentral:rRNA from 1 species
GAUGAACGCUGGCGGCGUGCCUAAUACAUGCAAGUCGAGCGAACAGACGAGGAGCUUGCUCCUUUGACGUUAGCGGCGGACGGGUGAGUAACACGUGGAUAACCUACCUAUAAGACUGGGAUAACUUCGGGAAACCGGAGCUAAUACCGGAUAACAUGUUGAACCGCAUGGUUCAACAGUGAAAGACGGUCUUGCUGUCACUUAUAGAUGGAUCCGCGCCGCAUUAGCUAGUUGGUAAGGUAACGGCUUACCAAGGCAACGAUGCGUAGCCGACCUGAGAGGGUGAUCGGCCACACUGGAACUGAGACACGGUCCAGACUCCUACGGGAGGCAGCAGUAGGGAAUCUUCCGCAAUGGGCGAAAGCCUGACGGAGCAACGCCGCGUGAGUGAAGAAGGUCUUCGGAUCGUAAAACUCUGUUAUUAGGGAAGAACAAAUGUGUAAGUAACUAUGCACGUCUUGACGGUACCUAAGCAGAAAGCCACGGCUAACUACGU